UAAUGUAUGGGGAUCUGCCCGAUAGAGGGGGAUAACUACUGGAAACGGUGGCUAAUACCGCAUAAUGUCUACGGACCAAAGCAGGGGCUCUUCGGACCUUGCACUAUCGGAUGGACCCAUAUGGGAUUAGCUAGUAGGUGGGGUAAAGGCUCACCUAGGCGACGAUCUCUAGCUGGUCUGAGAGGAUGAUCAGCCACACUGGGACUGAGACACGGCCCAG
rnacentral:rRNA from 1 species